CCUACGGGUGGCAGCAGUGAGGAAUAUUGGUCAAUGGUCGCGAGACUGAACCAGCCAAGUAGCGUGCAUGCUGACGGCCCUAUGGGUUGUAAACUGCUUUUAUGCGGGGAUAAAAUGCGUCACGUGUGAUGUUUUGUAGGUCCCGCUUGAAUAAGGACCGCCUAAUUCCGUGCCGGCAGCCGCGGUAAUACGGAGGGUCCGGGCGUUAUCCGGAUUUAUUGGGUUUAAAGGGAGCGUAGGCGGCAUUUUAAGCGUGCCGUGAAAUGCCGUGGCUCAACCAUGGCACGGCGGCGCGAACUGGCUGGCUUGAGUGCGCGGAACGUAUGCGGAAUUCGUGGUGUAGCGGUGAAAUGCUUAGAUAUCACGAAGAACUCCGAUUGCGAAGGCAGCAUACGGCAGCGCUACUGACGCUGAAGCUCGAAGGCGCGGGUAUCGAACAGGAUUAGAUACCCGUGUAGUC
rnacentral:rRNA from 1 species